rnacentral:misc_RNA from 1 species
UAUACGGGCGGGCCUCGGCAGGGAGGGCCUUGGCCCUGCCGUCUUGGUAGUAACGUCGGUAUUGCAGACCUUGUCGUGUGCCCGCCCACCCU